rnacentral:misc_RNA from 1 species
GCAUACACUCUCUCCACCAUGGCCUCGGCGGACUCCACCGACGGCGGGCUGAAAUGCCAUCCCUUAAAAUACGCAACUAACUCGAAGCAGAGUAACAAAAUGACCAGAAUCAAGAACACUCUAAUGAUCCUAUACAGGCGCGAGGAGGAUGAAUCGGAGAGUGAGUCUGGGCUAGCGAUCCUACGGUUGGCAGUACGGAGGAUAUAAAACAAGGCGUUUGUGAACCAAGCGAGGGAGCUAGCGAGUUGCUGGAAUUUGAGAAGCCAAAGCCAGGAGAGCUGGCGGGCACU